rnacentral:rRNA from 1 species
GGACGGGAUUCACUCUUCGUGACUGGGACAGUCCAGCGCUAAAUCGUGUCUCCUGCGGAGCCAUGAAGUGUAGCGUAUAAAAGGGGGGCACUGUCUAGUCCAACAGUUUAAAUCUCCCUUGACUGGGGUUCCAGAGAAGGUGAAAGGCCUGUUCAACUGGAGGACUGGGCGGUUUGCGCUGUCUUGGAGUCGGGUUGUUUGGGAACGCAGCCCAAAGAAGGUGGUAAACUUCAUCUAAGACUAAAUAUGGCUACGAAACCGAUAGCAAACAAGUACUGUGAAGGAAAGUUGCAAAGCACUUUGAAGAGAGAGUUAAAGAGGACGUGAAACCGAUAAGGUGGAAACGGAUAGAGCUGACGUAUCUAGCUUGUAUUCAGCUGCUGUUUUGCGUAGGCCGAGUUGGCCAAUCCUGCUUUUGGUUGGUCGAUUCGCGCUGUGCGUGAUCCAGUAGUGCAUUUGCAAGUGGAGUGCGCCGAGAGAUACACUGCAGCGGUGGAAUGCCUACUUUGAGGACCCUCUUCGGAGGGAAACCCUGGUGGGCGGAAGACUGUUUGCGGUGUGCGCUAGCAGGAGUAUGGACUUAACACGAGUCGGUUGGCCGGUGAGUCUGCGGCGGGCAGCGGUCGCAUGCGAACGCUUCCGCUGUGGGCUUGCUUGCUGGCUUGGCUCUCAUACUCGAUCUCGGUGUAAAAGUCGGUCAUCUAUCCGACCCGUCUUGAAACACGGACCAAGGAGUUUAACAAAUAUGCGAGUCAUUGAGUGUUGAAAACUCAAAGGCGAAAUGAAAGUAAAGGCACCUUUAAUGGGCUGAUAUGCGAUCUUGGGCGUUUCGGCGCACGAGCGCAGCAUAGCCCCAUCCCGAUUGCUUGCAAUGGGGUGGAGGUAGAGCAUAUUUGCUGAGACCCGAAAGAUGGUGAACUAUGCCUGAGCAGGACGAAGCCAGAGGAAACUCUGGUGGAAGUCCGAAGCGGUUCUGACGUGCAAAUCGAUCGUCUGAUCUGGGUAUAGGGCGACGAGCUUGGUG